GCCCACGCCACACCGUGGCCCCCCACCACACCCGCCACGAGCAGGGUCGAGCCUCGCCGGCCCUAUCCCCGGUACCUCCCCCAGGUUUUUUUGACGUCAGGUACUUCGAGAGUCUACGUCUCUUCUUUCUUUAGUUCUAACCUGCUUCCUUGUGUUUGGAUCGUCCCAGUCUCUUCGGUGUUCGAUAACCAUUUAACUACAGACUGUCUGGACGCGGCUUCCUCCGGGAUCUCUCGUGGAACCCUUCCUAAACCAGAGGCAAGUUUCCUCACCUCACGUUCUUGGAUCCAUACUUAGCUAAAAACAAGAGUAAGGCUCUACUUCGUCCCUUUGAAUUCCGCAACUUACUGUCUGGAACCUGAAAGUUAUUCUCCAAAGACCAACAACUUCUAAAACUAGGUCGUUUUUGCGAGUUACUCAUGCUCAAGUUCUUUUAAGGAUAAACCCAUUCUGAAGUACCAUAAGGAUACCCUAGCUACAUAUCCCUCAGUCCACUUCGGUAUCCCUUCCUUUAACCCCUCCACGAUCUACAACUACAUCUACUUACACCGUACCGUCGUCCUCUCAAAUACGCCCACUUUCAGGCCGAUCUAUAGUGUUUUGGAAACUACUCCCCAUAAUGAUAGAAGGACCUUCUACUACUCCUCCUUUCCGUUCUGUUUCUCUACUGUCCGCUUCUUUUCUUGUUACUUGUCUUCCCCUUUCUCUAAAAUAAAUGUAUACUUGUGAACGGCCUGAAGACGAUAUAAACGCCGCAGUAGCCGGUGUUACUAUCUCCGACAGGUUUAUUUGUCUUGGACCCUCAACCCGUACUUAAACCUAGCACCGAGUUCCGUCUUCUGACCCCUUCCUCCGGUUCACUCCUCCUAUCCUCGUCCUUGAGAGCUCUAUUUACCCCAAAACCUUUCUUAUCAUGACCUCCGUUGUCCCCAUCGCUACGUUAAUGCACCUCCUUCUUAAGUAAACUACCACUUCCUCACCCCCAGAGUCCAUUCUCCCUCCUUUUCCUUCGUUGGUCGGGUGAUUUAUUUGUUCGUUUACUCCUUCUCCAUCUUAGACCUCCUUUCUUUAAAGAAAACCUUCCCUAAGGCUCACUUUCCUAACAUAUCUUCCAUUCCUUAUCACUUCGGGGCAGUCAGGGUUACCACCACCUAGGAUUUUAUAGAGUUCCUGUUCCCCCUUCCCUCUCAUUUCCUCUAAGGUCGCCUCCUCUCUUCCCCCCUUUCGUCCGGUGUUGUAUACUCUUCCACUUGGGUUUCCCCGGAGGCCAGUUACUCCCUGCUCCUUUACUUGUUUUAUACGUCUGACAUCCCCUUUCCUUCUGUACACUUUAAAACUUGUUACAUUUCCUUUUUGCCCCGUGAAAGUUCGCGAAGUUCUCUUGUGUUGUUUGUGUAUGUUUUCUGCGGUUACUGGUACUUGGUUUCUUCUCUCGUAUGAGCCUAUAUCUUAAACUUUACCUUGACCUCUGUGACUUUUUCAUGUUCUACCUCUAACUGAGUCCUCUACCUCGGCUGCGUUCACAAUUAUUACGUCUCUUCCUAUCCUUACCCCUCCUGGUUCUUUCUCAGUGUUUACUUUUCGAGUUUCGACUCAACUUACGCCCCGACAGCCUUGUCAGGGCGCCUGGUUUUACUUUUAGUGCCACACGUUGACGGCCUCCAACCCCUUGCCGGGCUGUCACUCUCCCGAAGAUCUGGAGGUCUUCGUCCACCUGGGACUGUACGAAAAGGAUAGACUUUGGUUCUACUUGUCGUUUUUAUACCUUUCUAAAUUUGCUUACAAUCCCUACCUGGUCUACAACUAUUCCUUGACACUUCCUUUCUCACCACCUGAUCGAGAUGACACCUUCUUUCCUCACUCUCAACUCGAGGUUUUAAAGAGUUCCGAGGUAUAUCUACACCAUUAUUUGCUUUUCCUGCCAAAGUUUACCGCCAAGUGUCCUUAAAUGCCACUUGGACGUUCACUAUUUUUCGUAUGUUGGACCUCUGAAAAUUCACAAGAAUUAGUCGUCUACUUAGAAGGAACCAAUACACGACCUCUGAAGUUACUCUAAUACAUGUUGGUACUUUUCUCUCCUCCAGGCUCAUCUAGUGUUUUUCGUUACCUCUCAAAGUCCGACCGUGAACGACUUACACCCGACGCUCUGAACCCAAUAAGUCCACUAUUUAAGUGUACCGCGUUGGUGUUGGUAUAUCGUUCAGCUAUGUAUUUUCUUUCCAACCUGUCCCGUUGUCCCUUAGCAUCGACCACGUUAGCUAAGGGUUUGAUGUUUCAGCAUUUACUCCUAGGUUCUGUGAGUUUAGUGGCAGGACAUUGAUAUAACUACCUCUCAUGUUUAGUAUCUGUGUUAUGUCCUCCCAUACGGUUUCGAAAAUCUAAACUUCGGUUUACCAACGUUCUCCUCCUAACGCUCCGUCACCACUUGUUACGUACCCGAUGACGACGUCGCGCUCCUCAUUUAUUUCGUCGGCUGUUCAACGUACGUCAUCGAACACUGGAUUUUCUCACCCUGUGUUUGCAGAAUCCGUUAGAUCUUUUCUCCUAUUUAGUUGAGUUUUCUCUUAAUCUCCUUCAUUCCUCCUUUCUCUAGUUGGUCCAAUUACACAGUUCUCUUGAAAAAAACUUCCUUUUCGACCUGUCUAAUCUUGUAGUUUCCCUAUAAAAAACCUUCGUUUCUCGAGUACAGUUUACCGAACUUAGUCCUCUAUUCUUAUGACGAAAGAAGGUACGAAAACGUAGUCUUUCUUUUGCGUUUUUGUGUUAAACUUUCGAUUUCUUCCUUCUACCAUCAACCUAUCUCCCUCUCCUCGUUGACUUUUUAGUGUAACGACCGAUGAAAAUAUCAGAGAAGAGUAGGUGUCAGUCCGUCCUUUUACUCCGGUAAAACGUUCGUUAUUUAGGUUUCCAUUUACUUCCGUACUUGUCUCAGGAAACGCGACUUAUGUGUCUCCUACUCUGAGCCCUCCGGAAUAAGUCGUAACCUCUAAACUUUCGAGGACCAGGACUACCCUACGGUCGUUAGAAAAAGUUUUUCAAAACCGUUUGACAUCCCCUAGUUUAUUGCAGCCUCCACGAGUUACAGGAUUUACCACCGCUUACGGUCUUCCGACCUUGUUAUGCUACUAACAGAAUUAGGGUUUUUGUCGUUUCGGUCUUUUUAACUUUCUAAACUCUGGUUAUUCAGAGACGUUACAUGAAAUGUUCCACCAGAGGUUCCACUAUUGCGCAUCUGAUUUUUGGUAAGAUGGACUGUAGUAUAGGAACUUAGUUUCACGUAAACACAGCCCGGCGUACUAGAGUCUGUUAUAGGAUAACCGCAUACUUGAAAGUGUAAAAGAGGCAUCUUCUCCUUUCCCUCCGUGUACGAUGCGCCGUGAGUUCAACCUAUACUCAUUUCGUAUACUAUCCCAUCUUACCUUUAAGAAUUUACUAUACUACUAGGUUUACCCUAAAUUGUCCUCAACCCAAUUCGAUCACUACUUCACGUAAUGUUGUCAUUUUAUAGUUCACUUCCAGUUAUCUCUACAGUGUAUUCACAAACAUGGCGUCUCCCCUAAUGCCGUCCCUCUGGGUGAUAGAGGUAUGUACAACGAGUAUACACGACUUCCCAAGAGUCGGUACAAUGUAUUUCGUCUUCGUUUAGUUUCUAACUUUCCCUAAUUUUAGACAUCCGUUCGGGGUUCACAGUCGGUUAAUAAUAAACGUCUACUAAGUAAUAACAAUUACCUCCGUUUACGGUUACGUCAGCUCCUUCACUUGUCUUAGAACGUAUAAAUGCUUCGUACGAGUCCUGUCUACUAGUUAUUCCUUUUUAGUCGUUAUUACAAGUCGUUCUUGUGGCUCCUUUCUUUUUCUUUACUCUACUUCUCCUAGAAUCCGUAGUUAUAACUUCCAAAAAGUCCGUCUAUGAAUCCAGAUGGUCAUAUGUAUCCGUUCUUGUUUUGUUUCUGGAAGUUGAAAUAUUCCCUCUCUCAGACCUUCUUUUAGGUCCCUCCUUUACUCUUUUAAAAUAGUUUUCGUCCUUUCCUCUAUAACUAAUUUCGUCAACGAGUUCGUUAUGGUCAAAUGCGGUACAGUACAAAACUAGAGUGUUUUAGUAAAACACUCCUGAAUUCGAGAUACUAGUUAGCAAUGACCACCUCGGUCUACCUGUUUCUUUUAUUUUAAGUAACCCAUUCGACCCUGUUUAACUGUUUUGGUUUCUUCCUAGCUCCAAAUCCAAAAUCCUUGAAUGUAAAAAAAUUGGAACGGUACGACCGGUUCGUUCGUACCGCGUAGUAAGUCUUGGGGAGGAGUGAAACAAGUGCUCACGAUCGUCGUGCUAUGAAGGGAUUACCAAGCGAAAACGUUCGUUGAGGUUCACGUCCGUAUAGGAUACGUACCACUUCAUAAGACUUCCCUCAGGUUAAUAACUUUUUCCCCUAUUAUACCGCCCAACCCUUGCCUCUUCUGUAAUUUUAGACCACACUGGGAACCUAGGGCUCUCCAUCAUGUUCCGCUUAUUAUAGUGGUUUCCCUUUGUUGAACGAGAGGUUCCACAAACUUGAUUAAUUGGGGUAUUGUUUAGUCACCCUACUUCUAGACUAAGCCGUUUGGAAGACCCGGCUCCUACGUUUCCAAUAAGAAGUCUAAGGAGAGGUUCUGCUAUGUCUCCCCCUCUACAGUCUAAAGUUUACCUUCUUUGAAACCCGCGAGGGAGAAGGUUUAUUUCAUGACGUAAAAGAUACCUCCGACCGGUGUUUAUCAGAGGAUCACGCUUGCUUCGAAUUUUCUUUUCCAUUUUUUCCGCUCGUUGGUGGUUCGUUUCCUUCGUCUGGUUUUCACCUUCCGCGGUGGUCGUCCUUAGGACUUUUAUUUAUGACUACCCCGGAAGUAACUUCGUUGUUUUAGUCCACCUACCCCGAAGUGUGAAUCCUUACUGGUUCCGCACAACGACCGUCGUCCUCGUCCAUUGGAGCUCAUACAAAGUCUUGGUAAUGUACGACUUGAGAAUCGAAAAGUUGUUCGACACGUACGACGAUAAGUUUACCCGACGGUUUUUCACUACAAACUUUAUCUGACGAACCACAACUACGUUUGAAACGAAUCACUACUUAUACUGGAUAGUUGAGACCCGUGUAACAAAUUUCUCCAAUUUAAGGAGGAUGUACACCCGAAUUCACUACAAAGGUAUUAUGUAACAUUUGCCCUUACAUUACACCGCCGAGUGUGAAAUCGUCGUGUCCCACAAACAUACCUUCGACCGACAAGACUUUUAACCGAUCCGGUUAAAGGGUUCAAACAUAGUCUACGACAUCGACCGCUAUACAGGUCGCAAAAUUAUAUAAUUACCUUACGCAACACAAGGAAUUUUACCUUUUCUUUUUCCCUAACGAAUGAGAGCCUGUGCAGAAGUGAAUACGAAUUAGUUCACUCCCAAGGUAAGUUCAUUAUUUUGUUGUAAUGCCCUCGUGGUAGAAGUUUUGAACAGCUCAGCUAGUUAGUCGACCGUGGUUCAUCAUGGUUGGUUCGGUUACACGGUUGUGAGGUUGUGGGAAGACGUGAAGGAGGCGGUGCAGAGGAAGGGCGGCCUGCGCGUGGAGGACGGCAGGCGCGAGUUCAGUACGGGGCGCGUCGGGGAGCGGGCGCGCGAGGUGCGCCGGCGGCGCCAGAGGCCGGAACGCCUCCUAGGGAAGCAGCGGAGGAGCGAGGAGGUGUGGAUGGAGGCGGAGCCUCGGUGGUCGCUGCGGGCGCCACACAAGCUUUCUUACGGCCUGUUCUCACAGCAGCCGACCCCGCGUGAGUAGCGGCCAAUGAGACGUGCUCCGCUGCGGCUCCGGCGCACCCCGGAAGACCUCGCCUACGCCUCGCGGCCGUACCUCGGUUUACACUAGUGGACCUUACCUGACCAAAGGCCCGACUUGGCCUCGCCGUCGCGGGAGUUACGACAGUUCCGUGAACACUCCUACGUGCCCCUUCCCAAGAACGGCCUGCGGUGGCCACAGAGCACACGUGAGAGACGCCAGCCCCUACACUUUCUCCAGAGCCAACCGCUCGUCGACGUACCUAUACACCACUUCCGUCCCACGUCCGAUCUAGUUGUACACCAGUGACGCGAGUAGCUGUACAUGCCGUUCACACCCGCACGGCUACUCUAAAGAGUGCACAAGGUACUCAGGUCGGUGUACCUACAACGAAGGACGUUGCGAGAGCAGCGACCCGAGAGAGCCUUGCGGGUCCAGAGACUCCGUAACAACAACAAGUCGCUCAAACAAUCGGCUCCUCAGCUCAACUUACAACACAGGACCUGGAGCUAACAACGGACGACACACGUCUUACCCUUUCUAAACCUUCGCCACCUAGAAAAGUCCUUCUACGUCAGUUUUCCCUAGCUCGGCUUAAGUCAGUGCUAUGGGACGCAUGACGGUCGUAAACGGUUACAACGACGAGAAUACGUACCGGCCAGUCGUGUGACAAAAAGAGAAUCCUCCCCUAAAGAAGUACUGCAAAUGCAACCGUCACGCAACCACCUGUACAUACGUUUCACACCGUUCCAGUCCCUACGCUCCUGCUAGAAGCUACGUUAAGGCAGAUUUUUAUGCCAAAGCACCUUACGCUACUAACCACCGAUACGUUACGUACCCCUCCGACGUUUACGACACGUCAACAAGACAAACUACGUCUUCACGUUUGUCUUCGGGCUGGAUCAGUGUAAGUGGACACAGUAACCACGGACACCGGUUCGACCGGACUGUCUCCUCCCCGCAGCGAUGAAGUUACUUUACGUCGUAUCAGUACCGUAAAGGGGAUCCUACCUCGUAAUACGUACAUACCAAUGAGACAAUCCUGCCCGACCGUUCGAACUACUCCGUAUGCUAGAGUAUUUACUCUACGGUAAACUCGGUCUACCAACAUAAACCCCCAGGAACGACCCGAGGACGUCCCAAAUACCUUUACACAAGGACCGGCUUCAGCGUCGUCUUUUCGAUAAACUUGAUCUCGGUCUUUUAUGGCCGUUGAUACAGGACGAAAGGUUGUAAAUACGCAGAUUUUUUUACACCCUGCCCCAUUUGUCUCACUCCCUAGUCUACUUCUUAUACCCUAACUUCUUUCUUUUCCCAACGUCAACCUAUCUCUAGUUCUUGUUCCACGUGUACAACAAUCGACCACUGUUAAGUGUGGGGUACUACUGACGCUAUUGCCUCUUUGAUUUCGUCGAAUGGUAACUCUACUCGUCCGACCCGAAACGUGGCUCGUGUCUAAAACAGGAUGUACUACACCUUCUUGUUCUUUUCCUACUAUAGGAACGACACGUGUCACUUUUUGACCGACAACGUAACCCGGAGUAUUCGUGCUCGGGUCCUUGUGGGGAGGCCCACUAUUUCUUGGAGGCCUAAACACCGCUAACGGUGCUUCGUUACUUCAAGUAUAGUACAAAACUCCCCUCCCUCUAUAGACAAUCUCUGUGGUUGUCCAAAGUAGUGAAGUUCCUACCCUUUACAAGAACACCCCUAAUGACCACUAAAACGGACGGAACUGAAUGACAGAAAAGUUGUUGAACCACAUCUUGCACUUACUCGUACGUACAGGGGGAUGGAAUGCCACCUAUAACAAAAGUACUCCAUUACAUUUUAAUAAAAUACUUUUCAUUCUUUGUCUUAGGUUGUACGCCUGGACACGUGAUAUACGUCUCGGUUUCUUUUCAAGUGAGGACACGAUACACUACAGAGGUCAACGUUAAAGUCAAAAGAAUUAUGGUACAACGAUGAUAAAAGCAGUCAGAGUCAAAAUAAUCGAUUAGUAAGACUAGAUGUUGUGUGGUAAUAGACCACAAAAGGUUUCCUCUUGAAAUAAAGUUGAGAUGUGUGUCAGGACAGAUGUGCGGUGGUACCCGAAGUGGAACUCAAUCAACAAAAUAGAUCUCUGACUAACCAUAGGUUCGUUCCAGAUUAAAGGAUCAGUUCAAGAAUCAAUAUAUACCUUAAACAAAAACAUAUUGGGAUACUUAAAACAUCAGCAAGUUGGACGUCUAAAGUCUUUAUGUAACCUCUCUGAGUCAACCUUGAACCUCAACUAUAAUUAAAACAUUUACCAACUUUACUAAUUUAGGUACCUUCACUCUGUGUAGUCGAAAGCCUCCUACGUAGUUUAUCUUUUUUUC
rnacentral:rRNA from 1 species